rnacentral:rRNA from 1 species
CCCUUAAUUGGGGGCUUGAAUGAACGGUCGGACAUGAAGGAAGCUGUCUCGGCGCGGAGGACGUGAAAUUAACUUUUGUGUGAAAAGGCAUUAAUGGGUUAGGGGGACGAUAAGACCCUAUAAAACUUGAUGGGUGGGUGUCCGGGCCAGGAGUUGGGUGUAAGGGGGCCCGGGCGGUGUCCAUUUUGCUGGGGCGGCAGGAAUGUAAUCAGUAACCGUUCUUCAGGUGGAAUGGUGAUAGCCAGAUUUUGACCCUGGAUUCUGGGUUAGGAGUGUAAGUUACUUUAGGGAUAACAGCGUUA